GAGUUUUUAGUUUAAAUUUAAAAUAUUUGGUUGUGGUCCUUAAGAUUUUUAAACUUAAAAAAAUUUU
rnacentral:tRNA from 1 species